rnacentral:piRNA from 1 species
UCCAUAGUCCUGGUACAGAAAUCACGUGUC